UGAAAGAGUACCGGUACCAGGUAUAAAUGUCUUUUCUAAAUGCCUCUAACGUAGAGUAACUUUUAAAUGCAAUUCUUAAAAUCGGCCAAAGAACUGAGUAACCAGUUGUACAACUCAGCGUGGAAUUCACUAUCAAAAGUGGCAGUUCUGGGGGAAAGGUUUUAUUUCAGAUGCCACAAAGGGAGGCUUUAUAUGUAGAUUAUCCCCCGCUCGCAUCCCUGGGGUUGGACAAGGGGAGCGGAGCCAGGAGGCUGUCUGCAUGGCAUUGCUUUGUCAGUGGCGUAAGGUACCGCAUAAGGACAGAAUGCUGACUGAGCGGGACGGGGAGAGGCUGCGGAGUGUCGGAGAUGUGCAGGAGUGCACGAGUAGCUCAGCUGUCUGCUUCUGAGAUUCGUGUGGUGCCG
rnacentral:lncRNA from 1 species